UAGUAUACUCAUACCAACAAGUUGCAACAUCUUUUCCGGAAGCUCAUCCUCAAAGAACUCCGGGGUUAAGCGUGCUUGGCCCGGAGCAGUUUCAGGAUGGGUGACCGACCGGAAAAUUCCUCCCGGGGGCGCACGAG
rnacentral:rRNA from 1 species